rnacentral:rRNA from 1 species
UACGUAGGGUGCAAGCGUUGUCCGGAAUUAUUGGGCGUAAAGAGCGCGUAGGCGGUCCGAUAAGUCGGCUGUGAAAGUCAGGGGCUCAACCCUUGAAAGCCGGCCGAUACUGUCGGACUAGAGUCCGGAAGAGGCAAGUGGAAUUCCCGGUGUAGCGGUGAAAUGCGCAGAUAUCAGGAGGAACACCGGUGGCGAAGGCGGGUCUCUGGGCAGUAACUGACGCUGAGGAGCGAAAGCGUGGGGAGCGAACAGG